UUUAAACAAAAGGUUGUACAUAUUUUAAAAGGCAAGCUAGAGCUAUUUCUAUUUUUGAACUAAUUUAAAACUAACUAUCACAACCACGCCAUGGGAAUUGUACCCGUAGUUGUAAUAAUUUUAAUUGCGCGCCCAAAAGCAAACUACGGUGUUCAAAUUAUUUCCUAAAACUAUUUUGAGAUUAUUGUGAAGCCAUGAAUCAUGGAACUAUUAUAAAAAAUGUGACAUAAUCACUUAGCCGAUGGUCCAAGAAAUGGAGAAAGUUGGUAAUUGUUUAACAACUAAAGUAAGGAAGCUUGGUAUUCACGAAGAAAUGAGCCAACUAUAGUUUUUAUUGACUUGUCAUCCAAAUAAAGUGAUACAACAAAAAAUGAACAAACAUUUUUAUGAGGAACCCAACAGAAUGCCAUGUUCUUGAUUUAUUUAGUAGUAUUCAAGUUCUGAUUUUCAUAGAAAACAUACAAACAAGGAUUGUUAUAUGGUGAGUAAAAUAACAGAAAGAUUGUUCAAUUCAAGGUCAUUUUCUUUUGUCUUCAAACAACUAUUUGCGGAUCACAAAAUGCAAAGUUUUAAUAGUAAAGGGCAAAUGAUGCAAUAAGUUCUGAAGAGUUUUAUACCAUACAACACAUCAAAGGGAUAAAAAUGUAAAUCGAGCAUAAAACCUUAUGUUCGCAACAUAAAGCUGUACAUUACUAAUUUGACAACUCCUAAUGGCACAUCACAUUAACCAAAUGGACCAUAAGUUAACAACGAACUCUUUAGCUCUAAAGAAAUUUCAUUCAACUACUUUUUUAGCAAAUAAAAGCAGUGAUGUUUACCAAAUAACCCUCAUUCCCUUCAGAUCUUCAAUUCCUUCUUAGUAAGAAAAAGAUUAGUUAUUCUAAUGUUAAAGAUAGGCAAGUGACGAUACAUAUUAUAAUUCUUAAAGAUCUAUGCUAAAACUCAACUAAGGAAGUAACUCUUCAAUGCAAAAGGUUUUGAAAUGCUAUUGAAACUCUUUAACAAACACAGCGAAGAAGGCGUAACAUGCUGAAAUUAAGCAACAGAAUACUUCAAAUACUAAGACAUAUGAUUGUUACAGUGCUAUAGCAAUGUGAGGUCCAAUCAAAUUUAUGCUCACUCAAGCAUUAGUGUAACUUAAUAGAAGAAGUUGAAAAAUGACAUUCCAAAUAAAAUAAGCCAACUGAAAAGGAUCUAGUAAACCUCCAACAACGGUUACUAAUUUUCAUUCAACAGGUUCAUAACUUCAAAAUAGGUCAUGUGAAAUUAAACAAAACUACAGGGAUUCCAUGUGUACUUAAUUGAGAGCAUGAAACAAGUGAUUCACAUAAACAUCCCAUUUUUGAGUUACUUAAUUGUUUCAGUCAAAUGGAGGCUAAAUACACGUUUGGUAAACAAAAGAAUCAGCACUAGUCAUACUUGAACAAAUAAGUGGAAAAGAAAACUAAAUAGGAAUCCAACAAUUUUCAUUCAUAAUUGAAAUCAUAAUACGGAAAGGGUUCGAGCUAACCUGAUAGAACAAAUAAAAGCUAGAAUGAACCGACUAAGAAAAUAGAAGCAAACUCGCAAGAAAGCUCAGCAAUUCCAGGAAAAAGCAGCAAAAUCAGUGGAAAUCAAACGGCAAAUCCACAAGUUUUAGAACCAGAAAUCACCUCAAUCCAACUUCAUUCUUAAGAACCCAGAAUCAAACAAAAUGCUGAAAAAUAACGUUUUUUUUGUGCUUUCCUGAUUUCUUUUGAAAUGAAACUCGAACGAGGAAAUAAACUCAAACCAUUUUUUUGUUUUCAAACAAAGGGUGUCGACUCAGAGAAUUGAAAGUCUCAGAAGAAGAAAAACUUCGUAAUCCUAGAAAUUUACUACUAAAUUUUUCUGAAGAUCUCAUCCCAAUUUUUUCUAGCACAUAAGACUUACCUCAUAUAUAUAGCCUUCAAAAACUUUCAAAAAUCUGCCCAAAUCCUAAAAAAUCUUCAGGUUUUUGAACAAUUUUGGGACAAAUAGAGGGCGUGGAUUGAUUCACAUCUAUCCAUUGCUCCCAUUCAUCCAACAAUUGUCCUGUUGGUACAAAAAUCCGUGAUUUUGAGGGAAUAUUCGUACUCCUCUCUAACAAAUCCAUUGGGAAAUAGAGAUGACGUGGAGAGGAGGGGACCAAUAAGUGAACUUGGGUGAAACUUAGGCGAGUUGAGGUGAGUUCGAAGGUGAGGAAGAUGAAGGAAUAGUGCCCAGCGCCAUUUUCUG
rnacentral:lncRNA from 1 species